UUUCAGGGCACCACCCUGCAGUCUUGCAGGAAUGCACGCCGCAGCUGCGAGGACAUGAAAGAGGGCUGCAGUCUCUACGAUCGCAACACCGGAGCUGAUCUCUGCGCUGCAGGGGGUAUCGCUCUGCCUGUCUAGUCUAGUUGCUGAAACUAGUUAUGGGCAUUACUAUUAUGAAUGAAUAAGGCUGCUUGCUAUAAUCCAUUGUUCUCAAGACUGAAGUAAACAAUCCUAGGCUCUCAAAUCUACUAUAGAUCUAGAAACUUCAGAGACUCCACUAUAGAGAGGCAUUGUAUGCAUACCUUGCAAUCAAAAGCUUUGCUUGUUCCCAAUUUGAGGUGUGUUGGAUUGCUAAGUACCAAAUCCUUGUUCUCGGGAUCCAUCACCCAGUCCAUCCACAGGACAACUCCAUGGCAGAGCCCAGUCUUUACAACGCUAACCUGUGCAAAAGUAGCAGAAAACAUUAAGUGGUACCAAAGAGGACAGAAUUGAAUAACCUUUGCAAAUCCACUUAGACUCUUCCUGACGCAUGUUGAACUCGAGCAGCGAAAACGGUUUUGUCAAUGACCUGUGAUCAAAGCCAUCGACUUCUUCAAGGCGACAGCGGCUUUGCCACAAAUCCUGAUUUAGCCAACAUGAAACCAAAGUCACUGCAGAGAAAAUAAUCAACUUACAGGAAGAUGACAAGCCAUCCCAUAGAGAAUUCCAAAGCAGGGAACUAUAAUAGGGUUCUCUGAUAGCAACGGACUUAGCGUCGUUCUCUCGUACCUGGAUUCUCACUGCUUUAAAACAACUUCCAACUCUUUAGAAAACGAAACGAAAACGAACCAAAACCGAAGCUGCUUCCACGGCAACGCAUGCUCGUACGUGGCGUAAUAAGGCUCCCCUAGAAGAACAUCCACCUGUCGCGAAAAGAAAGAAACCCGUCCAUAUCCAAUGGAGUUGCAAGACUGUAUACUUUAUGCCCCUUGAAAUCGUCCCCAGUGAGAUGCUUGCCGUCUUUGUGUAUAAUAGACAGCUUGCUCGCGACGCUCUCCAAGUACUUCAAGCCAUCUCUUCUACAGCCUGGAAACAAGCCAGCCACAUGGCAGGAUCCAUGCGCUGUAGAUAGAGCACACACGGCGCUCAUCAGGCCGUCAUCCCGAAUGAGACAGUUUCCAAGUUCUCGUUCUCCAAGCUGGACAGAAAGAAAAAGAAACAAUCGUACUCACAGAUUCAAAACACACUUACAGCUUUCUGAAUGGCAGACUGUAUGAUAGAACGCCUGCUACCGUCACCAAGCAUGCGACACCUUUGUAGGCUCAGCUCGAAACCAGACGCUGAACUAUUACAGCGUACACCAUUGAUGUCAUACCGCACUGACGCUUCAUCAUGGCUGACUACGACGCGAAGCUCCGACUGCUCCUCCACCGAAACACCUUGUCCAGGAAGAAACCACACACAUUGUUUCCAAUGGUCACACCACUCGCUUGCCCCUGAGAACACAAAUCUGCGGAGUUACUCAAAGAAUCGAACAGGAAAACAAACCUCUGAUCCAACGAGGAGCAGUUGAGUAGCAAACCAGGCCAUCUUUGUCAAGCUGCAGCACCCACCUUGUCAAGUUCAAGCAGAGAAGAAAGCGAACCAAGAAGUAGCGAAUCCGAGCAAGUUUCGUACCAUGAAACUAUUGCGUGAGCAGUCCCAGAGAAGUUGACAUGCACGGCUUGAUUAAAUUCUCCACGCACAUCUGGAGCUCUAUAGAAGUCAAGAACGAAGGCCUCAAACGGCUCGGAAAGCUGCAGCGCCACGGGUUUUGGUAACUUGUAAGAGAACUCUACUAAAUUACCAGCUUCAUACCGGGGAUUUCAUCAACGUGAAACGCAUGCUGUCUGUGCUUGAAGUAAGAGUAGAAAUCAUUGGGAGCGAAAGCCAAUCCGUCCUGCAGCUGGUCUUCUACCCCUUGAAGGUCGUGCAAUCUCCAGAGAAAGUCGCUCUCGACUAGCUAAGAGAAAGAAGUAAACUCAACACUGAGCUAAGAAAAAAGACUUUGCUAUAUACCUGGGCAUACACAGUAGCUCGAUAUGGCACUGUGGCAGCAUUAGGCCGGAGUAAAUGCUCAUGAGCGUUCCUUAGACUUGGAAUGAUCCCUUCUCCAAGCAACUCCGAGUCUAAAAUCUCACACACCUGGAGAGACAAAGAGUCCAGAGGAAACGAAGAAGAAGAAUGUGUACAGACUUAGCGUACCAAUGCAUCGGCUUUGCUAGAGAUGUCCACCCCGACUUUGAUCUCAUCCGAGCCCAUAUGGAGCAGCUUGAUCGCUCCCAUCGUCCCAUUGUCUCGGCAAACUUUGCGAGCCAGCUUGUACAUUGGAAGAAAAGAUUCGCAAGCAGUCACCUGGCACUGCUCUUCCAUUGCCCGCCAAGCCAUGAGCGACAAGAGCCCAGUGCCAGCACUGUCAAGAACGAGCUCAGGAAACGAAAGAAGGAUCUCUCUAGCCUCACCCAAUGUCCAGGACAUGGCCAUGGCGGCCGACCUUCGCGAUUGCUGAAGAGAAUGCCCUGUUCCUGGCGCGAUCAUUCAGCAUGUCAAGAUACGAGCUCUCUGCCAGGGGAUCGCUCGCAUCGCCGCCGUCGCCUCCAUCGCCAACGAGAAUCCAUUCGCUCUCCCCCGUGAGCGCAUUGCUUCCUUCUAAAACCCUAAACUCACAAAGAAUGAAAGAAUGACUGGGUGCUUGGAGCUCAUCCAUUGCUGUGCAACUCCAUCUCAAGCUCUCCAAGCUCACUCCAGGAUCCAAUCCAUCACUAGCGGCGACAUCUUCCUUUGCAACAAGCUCAUCCAGAUGUACGGGAGGUGCUCUACUGUCUCUAAUGCCCGCCGCGUGUUUGACUCGCUCCCCAGAAAAGAUUCCUUCUCCUGGGAUCUCCUGCUCAAUGCCUACGUACUGAACGGGGUUUUGGAGGAAGCCCAGAGAAUCUUUGCCCCACAAGAGCGUCAUGCCUUGGAAUGUGCCCUUGGCGGGAUAUGCCCGGACUGGGCAUAUGCAAGAGUGCGUCAAGAUGUUCGAGUCUGCGGCAUGCUCCGAGAAUGGACGGCUGGAUCUCUCCCAGCAGCUGUUUGGCAGUAUUCCUUUGAUGUGGCGACGUGGAAUGGCAUGCUGGCAGCGUAUGCCCGUGCCGGUCGUGUAGAGGAAUCUACAAACUUCCUAGAAGAGAUGCCAGAAAGAAGCCUGGUUUCAUGCACAACAACCAUGUUUUUAGGGACAUUGUCUCCUGGAACUCAAUGUUUGCGGCAUAUGCCAGUCACAGUUGCAUAGAGCAGUCAACGUGCGUGUUUGAGAAAAUGCCACAGAGGGAUCUUGUGUCAUGGACCACAAUGCUGCUCUUGAAAAGCAAGUGUGGCGUACGGAAUCGAGGAGAUACAGCACAACUUCAACCCCGUGCCAGAGCAAGGCCUCCUAUCCUUCAACACAAUGCUCUCGGCAUAUUCUCAGCAUGGGCAUCUGACCAAGGCCAUAAGAAUGUUUGUAAGUCUCCCCCAACACGAAUCUGCCACGUGGAAUACUGUGCUGACAGCAUAUGCCGGUAAUGGGCAUCUGGGCAGAGAUUUGAAGCUGCUGGCCCUGAUUCCCGUGCCUGACAUGGUUUCAUAUGCCGGGAUGCUGGUAGCCCUAGCUCAUUUGAGGCAUUGGAACUGUUUGGUUCUCUAAAGACACUCCACCUCCCGGACUUGACGUGCUUUGUUUUGGGUCUGGUGGCUUGCAGCCAUACUGGAAAUGUGAGGCGAGGAAGGUAGUGCCUUUGCUUCAGUGGUAGCAGACUAUGGAAUGGAGCCAACCAAGCAACACUAUCGAUGCUUUGUGUGGGCCGGUCAGGGCAUCUUAAUGAGGCCAUUGCAAACCUGCCAUAUUUUGGAGUGGACUAGCUUGCUUGGGCCAGCCAUAGAGUCUUACAGAACGGGGGCCGUGCUGCAAACAUGGUAUUCAGGAUGAAUCCAGAGCAGGGAGGAGCGUAUGCAUUGUUAUCCACACUUAUGAACCAGUAACACUGUCGUUAUAAACACAUGAUCAUCAUCGUACAAAUAACUUUUCUAGCUAGCGGAUAGUGGUCAUAUUGUAGCAUUUGGAUUGGCAGCCUUUAGAAAGGCUGACAUGGGAAAAUUAAUCCUAUGUUACUAAGGUCAUUGUUUUCAUCAAGUCUUUCUUGUUUUUUCCAUGGCUUUCCGUUCAUUCUUUUCAAUUCUCCUUGGGUUGCUAUUCAAGGUGGUGAUAGUGCCAAAAAAUUCAAUGGCACUUGUGUUCCUCCGGCAAUCUUUAGCUUUACUGAUUCACUCUCUGAUACUGGCAACCGCAACCUUGAAGCAAUUGCUGCUGGCGCUUUUAGUCUCUCUGGAAAUUUGCCAUAUUGAGUGACACUUGGAAAAGCCACAGGGGAUGGAUACAUUUGUAUUGAUUAUUUAGCUUGUUCUCUCAAGCUUGGAGAUUUUGAGCGUCCUAGCUUGACUUACAAUGGAACUUAUUUUAUGGGCUUGAAUUUGGAGUGACUGUUCGUCCAACUAGUAUUAUAAUACUUCUUUCUCAUGUUUUAUCUACGCAAGUUUCAGGUUUUCUAUGACAUAAACAAUAUUACAACUUCAUAAAGAUAAAGCACUUUAUUAUAUUGGUAAUAAUCCUAAUUAUGGUAUGCAAUAUGGAAAAUAUCAAUUCCAUCUGUGAUGGCUGGCAUUAAAUCUAGUAUUAUGGAUUUAUAUAAUUCUGGUGCCAAACAUUUUCUGGUGAUGAAUCUUCCUCGUCAAGAUUGUUCUCGUGGCUAUUUACAAGAGUUUGUUGAUAUUGGGGGUAUGCAAUAUGUUAUUGAGCUUACAAAUAUUAUUAAGCUAUUUUGGAUAUCGUGAAUGAUAUUAAAAAUCAGAACGAUGAUAUUGAACUAUACUAUCUUGAUUGAGCUUAUGAAAUAUGGAUCAAUAUGGAUUUAAAACUUAUAAAGUGGCUUGUUGCAGUGCACCAGGAGAUGAUUUUCCAUUGCAAUAAUCCAAUAUUAUGUGGAUGCGGAACACAAAAUGGUACACUAUGUGAUAAUCCAGGUGCACAUUUAUCUUUUGAUGGUUACUCAACAUUUUAUGAGGUUUCUUGACUUUGUUGAGUAUCCUCUGAAAUUUAAUUCUUAUAAUUUCUAUUAUUUUAUUUUAAUAAGAUAGCUUGGUGUUUUGGCUGAUCGAGAGAGAAUGCAGUUUCAUCGAAAGUGGUAGGAAUCCAGCAAUGCGACAUUGGCCGAUGCGCCUUGGCUUAGAACCGAUAUGAGCAAGAAAUAUGGCUGUGCAUUGUUGUGAGGUUAAGCAUCGAUCGGUCUUUAACCGGUUUAGCGUGAUACGUCUGGAAAAGAGCCCCUUGCGUCAUGUUCAACAAAGAAGAGAUGGUUAACGAACAAAGGCUAAACUCUUUUUUUUAAUCUUCCCUUUGCUUAAUAAGAAUACGUAUUUUUAUACUGUCAUUUUAAACAUCGUAUGUACAUAAUCAUAAGGCGGCGGCGGCGGUGGUGGUGGUGGUGGUGCCUCCGGGUAAUCCAGUAGCUUCUCCAGCCGUAGCACUACGUCGCAGUGGUAAGGCAGCACUGGAUGCCAGUGGAGAUACAUGGGACUGAUGGUCAGCCACGAGAGGCCAUAAAACUCCGCUCCAAGUUGCUCUAGAACGUAGCGGAUUUGCAGCUUGAUGCCGCUGCUGCUCCCUGGCUUCCCUGUGCCCACACUGCUGCUGCUAGUGUUGCUGCUACUACCGGCGUUGUCACACAAGCCAUUCCCACCCAGACGCAUCCCUUGCAUCUCCUGUCUCGAGCCUUGGAGGAGCCGAAGUGUGCUACGAGACCGUUCUGGAGCGUCCUCGGCCAUUCCUCCUCCAUGGAAACAUGAACAACCUCGGCUCGUAGAGCUGUGGUCGGGCCGGAGAUGACGUAGCCGGAUGCAACGGGAGAGAUGGAGCCUCUGCUCUGUAUCCACUGUCCAAAUGCCGUGGCGUUGGCUACGGACCAUGUCGAAGCCGCUGGAAUAAAGUAUCAGUCAGCGAAUACUUAAAUACGAAAAAAACUUCUAGCUUACCAGUUGAUUCGGUCAGGCUCAGCCCCUGCAAUAACUCGUCACCAGACACCGUCGCCAAGGUUACACCGGCCAGCUUCCCAGCAUGAAAGUUGAUCUCCGGCUUUGGGAGUAAACCACGCAAAACAAAAGAGGACGAGGAACGAAUCACCAUGGGCCAUGCUCUGAAUUCGUCCAGCCAGUGAGGUUGUGUCUUGCUGGGAACUUGUAAAACUCGCGACGAUCUGGAGAGAGGGCUUUGGAUUCACCGUCAGAGGCGAUGUAACGUUCCAAACACUAAACGUUUGCAAACAUUUAAAAAGCUCGUUCUCUCGUGGCUGGCAGGACAUAUUUCAGAUCACAUGUACAGGCCAAAGCAAUGCCAACGACAAUUGCUAUUUUGUUGUAGCCAUGGUUUAUGGACAGUGCCAAGUACGACAUUGGUCCCAUUACAGCUACUGUGUUUGGAGGAAAUGGCUCACUGUGUUGACAUUUUCAGUGAAGGUGCAUAUGGAUUUGGAUUUGAUAGAUAUUCACAAACCAACUAUUCCAGCUUGCAGGGAUUAGGAACUCUCUAACUGCUUCCAGCUUGUUCAGCUCUCCUGAGAUUCGGCAGAUAUUAGUCACCUACAAGGCAGCAUUCCUCAGCUUUCCGAGCAUACUUCUGUUAAACUCCAACAGACUGGGAGGCCAUCUUCUCGGGUGAGCCUUCCAAAAAAUUUCAGCUCCAAUGCGACCAACAACAGGUUUGAAGGCAGUGUUUCAUCAAGGAACUUUAGCAGCAACCAGACAAGUUGUCUGGGAAGCUACCAACUCAAUGUGAACCACUGUACCAACACCAAUAAGAGAAUUGAAGAAACUCUUUGCGUCGAAUCCUUGUUAUUGAUCAUGAUUGGGUUCAAUGGUUGACUCUUCCCGGGCAUAUAUCACCUCCAUGGCCUGGUUCAAUUAAAGUUUGCAUUGUUAGUGCAAAAUGGUCCCGGGAUCCAAACUUUCAGCCAGCUGGAGGGAUGGAUGCUGCCAUUUACUCUAUUUUAUGAGCUCUCAACACAGGAGUGAUCCAGCUUUCCCUUUACCUAAGAGCAAAAAAUCGAUCGGGGUAGCACACCUGGUACAAGGGUUGCAAGUGGCAUAUAUGUUUUCAAUACAGACAAUAUAUGUGACACAGAAAAUGAAUAAAAAAUCAAAAUGGUCGAGACGAGCAUUUUUCCAAAAUAAAUUUAUGCAACUUGUUACCCUGCACCCUUGCAACCGUGCCUUAUCGUUUUUUAGGCCUAGGCUCUCCAGCUUCGGUCCGCUCAUUCUAUCAAGGGCUGCAGUCUCUACGUUUGCAACACUGGAGCUGAUAUUUGUUUUUGUGCUGAGACUGGGCAUUGUUCCCGCAUUUUACCGGUGAAUCUUCGCAAAGCAAGCCACUAUCUAAUGCCAAAGGACAUUCAGCUCGCCCGUCGCAUCCGUGGUGAGAGGGCUUAUCUUAUCGCAUUGAGAUAUCCAUUGUGUGGUGGCGAACUGCUAACAAGUACACACGUUUUGAACAUUUCUAAAGCACCAAUGCUGGACUUCGAAAGCCCAUCAGAUCUGCAAUAGAGAAGUAUGGCUGGAAGCGGCAAUCUCCCCGUGCUCGUUCUUCUUCUGUUGGCCUCGUUAUCCUGUGAGAGAGAUCUCCACUUAUAUGUUACAGUCGAUUCUAACUCGGACUCCUGUUCUUGCAGCUGCUCAAGGUGGCGUCGUCGAGGUUUGCUAUGGUGACCUCACCUAUACCGAUUGCAGCAACUGCUGUAGUCUGAAGAAAGGUUGUGUCUACCUGCAACCUGGUUCAGGACAAGUCACUUGCAUUGGCGGUGAUUCAAGGGCUUGUACCCUGGAGUGCCAAGGUCCGAAGUUGGCCGUAUGCCCAUUGCCUUCAUCAGGAUUCCCAACAUCAGGCAUCAAGGUGCUCAAGGGAAAACUCCCACCCCGACAACCUGGAUGCAGUUACUACAACAUCGUUAACGGUGACCCCAUCCCGCGGCUGGAGCAGCAGGGCACAGAUCAAGGUAACCGCCUUGUUCAUUAUGUUCAGGAAGCUCAGGCCUCUCCGAUAGAACUCAUGGCAGGAAGGAAGUGUAAGCUUGAUUCGAUUGUGGAGGUCUGCAAUGCCGAGGUCUCCAAAGAUAAUUGUGGUUGCUGCUUCGGGAAAUCCGGUUGCAUCUACUUGGAGAAUCCAUCCGCAAACAGCACCUGCCUGCCUACUGAAGACCCCAUGGGGGUUUGCCCCCUCGUUUGCGUGCCCACAGUGUCCAUUUGUACCAAGUCUGUAACUUUUCAGGGCACCACCCUGCAGUCUUGCAGGAAUGCACGCCGCAGCUGCGAGGACAUGAAAGAGGGCUGCAGUCUCUACGAUCGCAACACUGGAGCUGAUCUCUGCGCUGCAGGGGGUAUCGCACUGCCUGUCUAGUCUAGUUGCUGAAACUAGUUAUGGGCAUUACUAUUAUGAAUGAAUAAGAAAUGUCCCUCCUUGGAGGGGCCGGUGCCAAUGUCCGAAGUUACUC
rnacentral:lncRNA from 1 species